rnacentral:rRNA from 1 species
AAGUGCGAUCAUACCAGCGUUAAUGCACAGGAUCCCAUCAGAACUCUGCAGUUAAGUGCGCUUGGGCUAGAGUAGUACUGGGAUGGGAGACCUCUUGGGAAGUCCUAUUGUUGCAUCCU